GGCGCAAUAUAUUGAAUUUGUUGAAGAUAUGACGGCCUGCAAAGCCGUUUAGGCCGGUUCGACUCCGGCUCGCGCCUCCA
rnacentral:tRNA from 1 species